rnacentral:rRNA from 1 species
AGUGGAUUAGCGGCGGACGGGUGAGUAACACGUGGGUAACCUGCCUCAAAGUGGGGGAUAGCCUUCCGAAAGGAAGAUUAAUACCGCAUAAUAUAAGAUAAUCGCAUGAUUUUCUUAUCAAAGAUUUAUUGCUUUGAGAUGGACCCGCGGCGCAUUAGCUAGUUGGUGGGGUAAUGGCCUACCAAGGCAACGAUGCGUAGCCGACCUGAGAGGGUGAUCGGCCACAUUGGAACUGAGACACGGUCCAGACUCCUACGGGAGGCAGCAGUGGGGAAUAUUGCGCAAUGGGGGAAACCCUGACGCAGCAACGCCGCGUGGGUGAUGAAGGUCUUCGGAUUGUAAAGCCCUGUUUUCUGGGACGAUAAUGACGGUACCAGAGGAGGAAGCCACGGCUAACUACGUGCCAGCAGCCGCGGUAAUACGUAGGUGGCGAGCGUUGUCCGGAUUUACUGGGCGUAAAGGGUGCGUAGGCGGAUGUUUAAGUGGGAUGUGAAAUCCCCGGGCUUAACCUGGGGGCUGCAUUCCAAACUGGAUAUCUAGAGUGCAGGAGAGGAAAGCGGAAUUCCUAGUGUAGCGGUGAAAUGCGUAGAGAUUAGGAAGAACACCAGUGGCGAAGGCGGCUUUCUGGACUGUAACUGACGCUGAGGCACGAAAGCGUGGGUAGCAAACAGGAUUAGAUACCCUGGUAGUCCACGCCGUAAACGAUGGAUACUAGGUGUAGGGGGUAUCAACUCCCUCUGUGCCGCAGUUAACACAAUAAGUAUCCCGCCUGGGGAGUACGGUCGCAAGAUUAAAACUCAAAGGAAUUGACGGGGGCCCGCACAAGCAGCGGAGCAUGUGGUUUAAUUCGAAGCAACGCGAAGAACCUUACCUGGACUUGACAUCCCUUGCAUAGCCUAGAGAUAGGUGAAGCCCUUCGGGGCAAGGAGACAGGUGGUGCAUGGUUGUCGUCAGCUCGUGUCGUGAGAUGUUAGGUUAAGUCCUGCAACGAGCGCAACCCUUGUUAUUAGUUGCUACCAUUAAGUUGAGCACUCUAAUGAGACUGCCUGGGUAACCAGGAGGAAGGUGGGGAUGACGUCAA